UACGUAGGGUGCAAGCGUUAAUCGGAAUUACUGGGCGUAAAGCGUGCGCAGGCGGUUUUGUAAGUCAGAUGUGAAAUCCCCGGGCUUAACCUGGGAACUGCGCUUGUAACUGGCAAGCUGGGAGUGUGGCAGAGGGGGGGUGGAAUUCCACGUGUAGCAGUGAAAUGCGUAGAGAUGUGGAGGAACACCGAUGGCGAAGGCAGCCCCCUGGGCUAACACUGACGCUCGAUGCACGAAAGCGUGGGGAGCAAACAGG
rnacentral:rRNA from 1 species